rnacentral:sRNA from 1 species
UCCGCUAAUAAUUCCCCACAGUUCUGGA